rnacentral:lncRNA from 1 species
UAGACACCAAGCCAUCGGGGUGGUUUGUCUCAGUCCCCACCUCUCCCAGGUCCCCCAAAUAAUUCAUAGUCUCAGGGAAUGAUGAGCUGGCAGCAGCUUUUCCAUUCUUUUCUCAGCAAGUGGUUCUCACCCCAGAUGUCUGUUUUAGAGUACAGAGCCUUGUUUUGUUUUUGUGCUUUAAAUGGAAUUAUUUACUUUUAUUACAGAGAAAGCUUUUCUUCUGAUCUCUGUUGCCUGCUGGCUGGGGGUCAGGAAGCUUGAAACCUUGGCCCCAUGCUCUGAGCCAUUCUUGAUGUCAUUCUGGAAGGUCUCUGGAUUGUUUUGACAAAGACUUAAAUUACUGGUUAUUAAAACACCAAGUGUGAAAAUCUGGAAGAAGUUAAGGUGGAGAACAAGUACGAAGGGCCUAAGAGGAAGAAUGCUUGUCUCAUUUAAAGCAAAGUCAUGAGGCUGAUUGGCUCCUGAAGAAAAGCUGAAGGGAAGGGUGGAAGGAGGGAACCGAAGGCCCAUGGGACGUGACCAACUCAGCAUUCCACUGGAGGCUGUAUGAUCAAACAGCAAUCUGUUUAUCAUGAAUGCAGGAUUUGAGCAAACUCAUGACUGCUCCUGCCAACAGAAGGUUUGCUGGAGGCAAUCACUGCCUGGCGCCGAGGAUAUCUACUGCGACAUCUAGAGAAUACAGUCUUGCAAGCCUACUCUGGACUGAGCAGCUGACCCCUUCUUUCACCACCCCCACCUUCUCACUGUCUCUUUUGCCUAAUAAAUACGGAGGGCUGUGUAAAGCUCAGAGCCCUUGUCCACUAGAGGAAGGUGCCCCCGACCUCUUCUUCCAAAUAUACUCUUUUGUCUCUUGUCUUUAUUCACGUGUUCACCCCGCUUUGUUCAGUCCAACAGGUUCGCGGCAUAGUGGCACCCCAAACAGCGACAGGAUCGGGUGUUCUACAAAUAUUCACCAAAAUUCAUGCAUAAAAAUCUUCACUGACUUAAUUAUAAUAUUAAAAACAACAGAAACAUGACGCUGCACUAAAGAAGGCAGACAAAUGAUUUUAUGCCAUAGGAUUCCAUUUCUAUACAUUUUAAACAGAUAAAACUAAGUUGUGCUUUUGAGGUAGCAUAGUGAUUAUUUUGGAAGAGGUAUUGAUGGGAAGGAAUGUUUCUGGGAGGUAGAUGAUUUUUUAUUCCUUGAUUUGAAUUUUGGGUACACAAAUGUGUUCAGUGUAUAAAAUCCAUUGAACUUUAUAUUUAUGGUUUGUGUACUUUCCUUUGUUAUGUAAAUCUUCACUAUAAUUUCAAUUAAUCAAAAUAUCGCUAACAUGAAA